rnacentral:misc_RNA from 1 species
UUGGAAAACGUCAACUUGACAGCGAGUUUAUUUACAGAGUUCGUGAGUAAAUUGAGGAAAUAUCGAGCGAUCUGGCACGAAACGGGGUGUUGUGGGGGAAUUGAACGCGGCGCGUUGGUAUAAGUGCGGAUCUUACGUCAACCAAUGAGAAGAUAGAAGAAAUUUAGGAGCAUUUACCUUCAGCUGAAAAUUGUUCCCUUAUGUGACAUGGCGUCUGAUUGGAAAGUCAGUUUCUAGGCGGUUGAAGACACUGUUGCGCCCCCGAUUUUAUGAACGCAAACUGCGCCAGGGCUUGUCGUAAAAGCCGCCAACAUUUCCCAGCCUAUCGCAUUGAUGGUAAUGCAUGCAAGGAAAACACAACGGAUGAGCGAUGGGUACUUCGAGAAGCACCCAACCCAUCCCUAUCAGAAUUCAAAGUAUGCAACUUCAAAGAGUUACGGGUCGAGCAAUGAGCGCUACGAGAAGUUUCGCGACUCGCCGAAUGGCACCUACCGAUCAGACAGCCCGGAAUCACAAUCACCUAGGGAUAGAGACCGUUCUUAUCAAUCCAAGAGCUACUUGCAGAAAAUGCGCGAAAAGGAGAGAGAGAACAGAGACUACAAGAUGUCGCGGGACAAGUACUCUGACUUGGCCAGGUCGCCGAAAGACAAGCGGACUAGGGAUUCGGACCACAGGACCAAUAGCGAUCGAGGAGGCGACGAUAAGAGCAUUUUGCACCCCUUAAAGGUGGGCCAGUUGUCUUCGAGGGAUCGCAAACCGGUGCAUAACAAUUGCGUGGACAAGAGAGAUGAUCGAGACAGGGUACUGAAAGUAGGCGAUUGGUCGGAACAUGUGAGCUCGUCAGGUAAAAAGUAUUACUACAACUGUAAAACCGAAGUGUCGCAGUGGGAAAAGCCGAGAGAAUGGAUAGAGCGCGAACGGGAUCGGGAAAGGUUCCGCGGCCGGGAUCGAGAGCGGGACGACCGAUAUAGAAACAGUUCCAGCAGACCAAGUAUGCGUCACGAUAAACAUUCCAACUCCAGGGGCUCAAAUGGCAGCGGCAGCAGCAAGGAGACGUCGCGACACUGGAACAGUAACAGCGGCNCCAGCCGGGAAGCCCCUGAAGGGUCCACAAAAGAGUCUUCGUCCGACUGGCCAUCCAGCUCGAGGCGCCACUCAAACCCCGACAACUCUGUGCAAUCGGUGGCGUCGUCUGCCGCCCAAGACAUGGACAUUUCGCCCGGGGACAGCACGCCUACUUCCGAGAUAUCCUACGGGACAGCGUCCGCCCACCAAACUCCCGUAGUUGUCGAGCAGCCCGUGAUGGGUCCAGUGCUGCUCGCGAACGCUUUGCCACGUUUGUCUUCACAUCCCGCGACCACGUCAUCGUCGACGCCCACCUUAGUAACCCCGCCUAGUUUACUGACGGCCGCCGGGCUCCUCAGCGCCGCCCCCACGCUUCUAAACUCGCCCCCUCAGAGCCUUUUGGUCUGCUCCCAACAGGGCGGCACUAAUGCGCCAGGGCCCCCGCUCAGCGCCAGCCAAUCACGGAUUGAGGUCGACUCGAAGAAGUCGGACUCGCUCAUUGUGGACACGAGUCAAAGUGGGAUGGGUGGCGAAGGUCCUCCUACUCCUACACACUCUGAGGUGCCCGAUUGCUCCAAGGGUCUGGUUUUAGUGCAAGCCCCAUCAGGAAGCCCCCCAACUGGAGGUUUGCCGCCGAUGCAAGGGGUGUCCAGUUCGCUUCAGGCGUUAAGACCACAAGGGCCCACCAUCACACCCUCCCUGGCCAAUCACUACAGGGAUGAUCUGGUCAAUCAUGUGCGAAACUGGCCGGCGGACAUUCUGGAGAAGCAAGUAAGCGCCCAGAAGCUGGCUGAAGAAGCUCACAUUAUGGGCAGUAUACAGUGUUCCAAAGUGUCGGCCGAGCUGAAGUCCGCCAGGUCAAUCGUUCGACUGACCGAGAUCCAGGCCACGUUGCAAGAACAAAGGAUCUUGUUUUUGCGCCAACAGAUCAAAGAGUUAGAAGAACUGAAGUCCCAGAACUCGUUUAUGUCCGACGAUCCUUAGUGUCACCAAAUCUAGUGUAUAAACAUGAACUAAAUGUUGCGUUCUAGCGAGUCAAAUAUUUUUUGCAAUUGUUCGAUUAGUCGGGAUUUUUGGGCGAGCGGUCAGUUCGAUCGUCGGGUUCGGUUCGAAGCUCAGCUAGAGCACUUGACCAAUGCGCAGGCAUUUAUAUCCGUAGUUCCAAGUUAAACUGCGGUCGCAAAAGCGGCUCGACCGGUCGCCCCGAGAUGUUUUCGGUGUACAUUUUCUUAAUUAAAUUAUUUCCUUUUUAUGUGUCUCCUCAAGUGUAAAACUAUCAUUUUUGUAUAGCUAACCAAGUCGAGGCUAUCUGUGGGCUUGUUCUUCACAGCAUUCGAUUCGUUCUGGUUGAAUUUUCUGGCUUUUUACCCUUUAUUAUACGAUUCUUUUGAAUAUUUUGUCAUCACUACACCACACUACACCCGGUUCUAAAGUCUGCAUUACCUUUACAUGGAUACAACAUUCUAGCGAAUCUCUUUAGUGUUUAAAUAGACAGUUCUGCUGGGCGUGUUCAGGUAUGCAUCAAAACAACACUCGAUUGGCAACCAAUGCGGCAGAGCAUCGGCAUUGAAGGGCAUUUAAUUUGAAAAAAUUAAACCGCUCCGUUCGAGUGGAGGCCCUGCCGCAUCACCACAAAACGGCUCGUUCACAGUACCAAAAAAGCCCUUUUAUUGUUAAUUUAAUUAU